rnacentral:rRNA from 1 species
GGCGAACGCUGGCGGCGUGCCUAAUACAUGCAAGUCGAACGCUUCUUUCCUCCCGAGUGCUUGCACUCAAUUGGAAAGAGGAGUGGCGGACGGGUGAGUAACACGUGGGUAACCUACCCAUCAGAGGGGGAUAACACUUGGAAACAGGUGCUAAUACCGCAUAACAGUUUAUGCCGCAUGGCAUAAGAGUGAAAGGCGCUUUCGGGUGUCGUUGAUGGAUGGACCCGCGGUGCAUUAGCUAGUUGGUGAGGUAACGGCUCACCAAGGCCACGAUGCAUAGCCGACCUGAGAGGGUGAUCGGCCACACUGGGACUGAGACACGGCCCAGACUCCUACGGGAGGCAGCAGUAGGGAAUCUUCGGCAAUGGACGAAAGUCUGACCGAGCAACGCCGCGUGAGUGAAGAAGGUUUUCGGAUCGUAAAACUCUGUUGUUAGAGAAGAACAAGGACGUUAGUAACUGAACGUCCCCUGACGGUAUCUAACCAGAAAGCCACGGCUAACUACGUG